CGGGAUGGCAGGACCUAAACUGGUUAGUCUCAGGAUGGCAGGAGUUAACUUUGGGUUCCUCAGGAUGCUAAUAGGUAAACUUGUGUUCCUCAGGAUGCUAAUAGGUAAACUUGUGUUCCUCAGGAUGCUAAUAGGUAAACUUGUGUUCCUCAGAGUGGUAGUAGUAAACUUGUGUUCCUCAGGAUGCUAAUAGGUAAACUUGUGUUCCUCAGAGUGGUAGUAGUAAACUUGUGUUCCUCAGGAUGCUAAUAGGUAAACUUGUGUUCCUCAGGAUGCUAAUAGGUAAACUUGUGUUCCUCGGGAUGCUAAUAGGUAAACUUGUGUUCCUCGGGAUGCUAAUAGGUAAACUUGUGUUCCUCGGGAUGCUAAUAGGUAAACUUGUGUUCC
ensembl:lncRNA